GUGCCUGCUUCAGCAGCACAUACACUAAAACUGAAAAGAUACAGAGAAGAUUAGCACGGCCCCUGCGCAAGGAGGAUAUGCAAAUUCGCGAAGCGUUCCGUAUUUUU